CAUGUCUUUUUGAUAAUAAUUUAAGGUUUAAUCUGCUCAAUGAAAGUUAAAUUGCCGCAGUAUUUUGACUGUGCAAAGGUAGCAUAAUAAUUAGCUUCUUAAUUAGAAGCUGGAAUGAAUGAUUGGACAAGAAAAUUUCUGUCUCUAUUUAAUUGUUUAUUGAAUUUUAUUUUUAAGUUAAAAAGCUUAAAUUUAUAUAAAAGACGAGAAGACCCUAUAGAGUUUAAUAUUUAAGUUUUAUUUAAUUUUAGGAUUGUUUUUGGAAUUUUGAUAUUUAAUUGGGGUGAUUUAAAGAUUAAUAAAAUUCUUUAAUUUUUUUAUUGAUGAUAGUUAAAUAAUAAAUCUAUAUUUUUAAAUUUAAAAUAAAUUACCUUAGGGAUAACAGCGUAAUUUUUCUUUAAAGCUCUUAUUAAAAGAAGAUUUUGCGACCUCGAUGUUGGAUUAAAAUUAAUUUUUGGUGCAGUAACUUAAAAAUUAGGUCUGUUCGACCUUUGAAAUUUUACAUGAUCUGAGUUUAAACCGGCGUAAGCCAGGUUGGAUUCUAUCUUUAGAUAAAUUGAAUAUUUUAGUACGAAAGGACCAAAUAUUUGUUAAAUUA
rnacentral:rRNA from 1 species